AUGAUGCUUGUCCAGCUCAAACUCAGGGAGAGUAAGGAAAACCCUCCAUCAUUCUUGGAACUGCUGAGUGAGAUCAGAAGUGAAGAAGAGUACGAGUCAUCGAGGACAAAGCUGAACACCUUUGUUCAGAGAAUUCACACAAACCCUGCUACAGACAAUAGACAGGAUGAUAUUGAGCGUUUGAGAACAGAAAUUCAAGAACUCAAGUCAAUGUUCACUGCCAUGAGUACUGUGCCUAACAAGGUUGUAGCAGAUAGCAAAGGACCUGUGUCAAUGACAAAGAUGCACACUCCAGAGACAGGUAGUGAUAGUGAAGUAGCUGUUUUAAGAAAGCAAGUGAAAUACUUGCAAAAGCAAAUGACAAGCCAUAAGCUAAAAGUCUCUGAAUCCCCUACUUCAGUUCUUCGUGUAGAGCCAUCUAGACAAACCCAGAGUGAUAAUAGAAAGCAACCAUCUAACGACUCGGAUGGGAACUUUUGUUAUCGCUGUGGUGAAAAUGGCCAUUACUCUGCCAAAUGCCAGAAUGCUGAGAAUCAGGCCAAAGUUACUCGAAAGCUGAUACACACUCUAAAGAAAGUUAAACAUCUAUCUUCUAAUGAUCUAUCUUCUCAAGCAUCAGGUGAUUGUCACACAGUGUGCUCAGCUAAGAAAAGUGAAGUAACCACCCUUGAUAGAGGCAUUCCUCCAGGACUGAUCGCGCCCUGUUCCAUCAUCCCAGUGAAGAUAAAUGGCCAGCACUGUGAUGCACUUCUGGAUAGUGGCUCUCAAAUCACAAUUAUCUUCGAGCCCUGGUAUGAACACCACUUACCUGAUGUCCCAAUUCAGCCAGUGUCAGGGUUGGCAAUAUGGGGUUUAAGCGAAACCAGUUACCCCUACCUGGGAUAUGUCGUAGUGGAGAUGGAAUUUCCAGAGAAGGUUACCGGGGCAAAGGAGACACUUUCCGUCCUUGCUCUGAUUUGCCCAAGUUCAGAAAGUCCUGAAAAGACACCCUGUGAUCCUAGGAACAAAUGCAAACCUGUUCCAGAGACUUUCUAUGCUCUGCAAGGAGACCACAGGAGUGGACAUUGCACAGACCCUUGGCAUAAAGGCAUAAAGAACUCCAUUUGUCACACAGACAAACCAACAACUGAGGGUGAAGAGGAUGAAUUUGCAUGUGUGAAGUGGAUGGGUCCAGGCUCACUAACCUUACCUCCUGCUGGUGAAUGCUGCGCCAUCUGUGAAGUGGAGUUGAAGAGGCCUCUGGGUAAAGACAUGUUAAUGGUUGAGGCAUCACCCUCCGCUCCAUUACCAUCCGGAGUACUGCUGCAGCCUAUGGUCGUGCAUGGUACUGCAGUGGAUGAUCACCUCACUAUCCUUAUCCAGAAUGAGUCCAUGAAAGACACCGUCAUUCCAGUUGGAACUGUUUUAGGCCAGCUGUGCCACGUUGAUCCAGUCGUUCCAUCUCUGAAAGUUGAAACUGAGGCCGUGACUGUACCAGAGUUAGACCCGCAACUGAUCCAGUUUGGCGACUCGCCCAUACCAUCACAAUGGAAAGCACGACUCCGCCAAAAGUUAUGUAAGCGAGCAAACUUAUUCUCAUUGCAUGAAUGGGAUGUUGGCCUGGCAAAGGAUGUGGAACACCAUAUCAGGAUGACCGAUGCAAAGCCAUUCAGAGAACGUUCAAGACGUUUAGCUCCCGCAGAUAUUGAGGAUGUUCGUCAGCACUUGCAAGAGUUGUUAGAGGCUGGUAUAAUUAAGGAGUCACGUAGCCAGUAUGCAUCACCAAUUGUGAUUGCCAGAAAAAAGACUGGGCGUAUCAGAAUGUGUGUUGACUAUAGGACCCUUAAUAGGCGGACAAUUCCAGAUCAGUACACGACUCCUCGCAUAGACGAUUCGUUGGAUUGUUUAACUGGGAGCAAAUGGUUUUCUGUCCUUGAUUUACAUAGUGGCUACUACCAGAUCGCCAUGACGGAGGAGGACAAAGAAAAAACCGCCUUCAUUUGUCCCCUUGGAUUUUUCCAAUUUGAAAGGAUGCCCCAAGGCAUAACUGGAGCACCUGCGACAUUCCAAAGACUUAUGGAGAAAGCUGUCAGCGAUAUGAAUCUUCUUCAGGUGUUAGUUUAUUUGGAUGAUCUCAUAGUCUUUGGACGUUCUUUAGAAGAACACGAAGAACGCCUCAUGCGAGUGUUAGAUACACUCUAA
ensembl:lncRNA